rnacentral:tRNA from 1 species
GGUUCCGUAGCUCAGCUGGAUAGAGCAGCGCCCUCCUAAGGCGAAGGUCGGCAGUUCGAAUCUGCCCGGGAUCA